rnacentral:rRNA from 1 species
CGUGUAGCCGGGAGGGCAAGUCAGAUGUGAAAUCUAUGGGCUUAACCCAUAAACUGCAUUUGAAACUGUAUCUCUUGAGUGUCGGAGAGGUAGACGGAAUUCCUAGUGUAGCGGUGAAAUGCGUAGAUAUUAGGAGGAGCACCAGUGGCGAAGGCGGUCUACUGGACGAUAACUGACGCUGAGGCGCGAAAGCGUGGGGAGCAAACA